rnacentral:rRNA from 1 species
UACGUAGGGUGCGAGCGUUAAUCGGAAUUACUGGGCGUAAAGCGUGCGCAGGCGGUUCGCUGUGUCCGAUGUGAAAGCCCCGGGCUUAACCUGGGAAUGGCAUUGGAAACUGGCGGGCUUGAGUGCGGCAGAGGGGGGUGGAAUUCCGCGUGUAGCAGUGAAAUGCGUAGAGAUGCGGAGGAACACCGAUGGCGAAGGCAGCCCCCUGGGUCGACACUGACGCUCAGGCAUGAAAGCGUGGGGAGCAAACAGG